GUGAACGCUGGCGGUAGGCCUAACACAUGCAAGUCGAACGGCAGCACAGUAAGCGCUUGCUCUUACGGGUGGCGAGUGGCGGACGGGUGAGGAAUACAUCGGAAUCUACUUUUUCGUGGGGGAUAACGUAGGGAAACUUACGCUAAUACCGCAUACGACCUACGGGUGAAAGCAGGGGAUCUUCGGACCUUGCGCGAUUGAAUGAGCCGAUGUCGGAUUAGCUAGUUGGCGGGGUAAAGGCCCACCGAGGCGACGAUCCGUAGCUGGUCUGAGAGGAUGAUCAGCCACACUGGAACUGAGACACGGUCCAGACUCCUACGGGAGGCAGCAGUGGGGAAUAUUGGACAAAGGGCGCAAGCCUGAUCCAGCCAUACCGCGUGGGUGAAGAAGGCCUUCGGGUUGUAAAGCCCUUUUGUUGGGAAAGAAAAGCAGCAGGUUAAUACCCCGCUGUUCUGACGGUACCCAAAGAAUAAGCACCGGCUAACUUCGUG
rnacentral:rRNA from 1 species